AGAGUCAGGAAUCAGUUUCAGAAGGCACGUGACAGAGUCAUGGAGAUCCCAGAGGAUAAAGGGCUCCGUAAGGAGGCCACCCUGCCAGGUCUGAUGAACACAGGUGAAGGGGCGGUCUCCUUUAUAGAUCGUGUCCAGCCUAAGAGAAGUCAGGUGUGGAUCGUGUGGGAGGAGGUCCAGCUGCUGCAGAAGGAACUCAAGGAGAAGAUGGUGUCCAUCAUCACCACAGGAGCUACAGAGAGAUGCAUC